GUUAUACCUUUCAGAUGAAACUAAGUUUGUGAAAAUCGGUUCAGCCAUCUCUGAGAAAAUUGUGUGAGUUUAAAUGACACACACACAUACACACACACAUACACACACACACACACAUACAUACACACACACAGACAUUUGCCGAUCUCGACGAACUGAAUCGAAUGGUGUAUGAUACUCGGCCCUCCGGGCCUCGAUUAAAAAGUCGAUUUUUACAGUGAUUGCAUAGCCUUUCUUUAUAUGAGAAAGGCAAAAACGGUUGUAUCAACAAGAAAUGCUCCAUCUUAACAUCGAUAGUUAUUCAGCCAUCCCAUUCGCAACAACAGCCACGAUUUCAGAGUUUUUCACCAACAUUUCACAACAGAAGCAGCAAAUUAUGAUUUUCCGUCAUCCGACAAAUAAACAGGAUUUGACGCUAAUUAAACAAUUGCAACUAGUACAAACCUCAAGGUGCAAACGAUGCAAGCCAAUCAGGGUCAAACGGUUAAUUGGCUAACAACAGCAGCUGCAGCAAUAACCACAAACUAGAAUUAUCAUCACUCAUUACCGCAUUAGGACACAGCAAAGGCACCUUCAGGUACAAUAGUAGCAAUAUACAAUACAGUUCCAAGCACCGCGAGCAGGAGGAUCCACUAUUCAGUUGGUACAGCAAGAUUGAAUUGACCAUAAAUCCAACCGUAAACACAACAGCAAGGUGCUUGGAAGGAAUUUCUGUGCGUAUGACUCGUUUGGAAAAAGUGCUUACCCUCGGAACAGUUCUCUUACAUGCUACCGGAGAAAUCCGUCACCAUUAAGAUGAACAAGAACCAGGAUGAGUCCUUCAGGGAGACGACACGCAAGGGUUGAUGUUGGAAUCGCAGAUCACGCUCUGAAAAUAUCGCAAGCUAGAUCCCUCUCAGCAGCACGCAGUAAACCCUGACACGACAGAUGGGGCGCAAAACCCCUGUAAACCAACGACAGUGGUUGUUAAUAUUUAGCAUAGCGUAAAAAGCGUAGUAGAAGGUAGAUGGCCCAUAAUAGCAAGUCAGUCCCAUGGUUUGUACUGUCGCUAUACGCUAGAUUUUCCCUAUGCUAUGGGAUUCUCGAUGUGCAUCACAUUAAGUAAAAAAAACAUCAAGAAAAUGAGAUAAAAAUUUGCAGCAUCACGUAA